UCACAGCAUCCUCCCAGCGCUGAAGAAACCACACCAUGUCCUGCCCCUGGGCUAGGAUCCUGCUCCUCGCCCUGCAGGUGGCAGCUUCCCAAGAGGGGCUGUGGCUGCAGCAAAGCCCAGCAGAGAUCCGGACGACCCCGGGACAGGCUGCAGAGCUGAACUGCACUGUUCUGUUCCAACAACAGCGUGUAUCCUGGUAUAAAGAGCAUCAGGAUGGCAGUCUGCAAUGGGUUGCCCACAUUGGUAAUUUUGUAGAACCAAAAGGAAGAUACUCGAGUAAAGUGAGCAGCACGGGGAAAAUGUUCUCUCUAAUCAUCAACCAGCUACAGGAGGAGGAUUCUGGGCUCUAUUAUUGUGCCCUUGAUGUCUCAUUAUACACGAGCUUUGGGAACGGGACCAGGCUGAUCGUCUCCGGGCCCUGCUGGGUUGCACGUUGGGUGGGGCUGCCCUGUGUAUGCCUCCUCCUGCUGAUCCAGGGCCUGAUCCUGCUCUCCGCCAAGUGCCCCCCCACAGCAGGUAGAGUGGCAGCUCCAGGGAGUCACAUGCACCCGCACCAGAGCCCAGAGACAGAAUAUGCAGCUGUGAGCCAUGGCGGCAGAAAAGCUCCAGCAUGACUGAUGCGUUCACAUGUUCAUCCUUAAAAUAAAAGGUGUGGGGACACGCAUGUGCAAGAGGAAGAGACAUGUGAUGCCAAGCAGCUGUCCAGUGUGUGAGCAUG